AGUUAGUUGGUGAGGUAAAGGCUCACCAAGACCGUGAUGCAUAGCCGACCUGAGAGGUAAUCGGCCACACUGGGACUGAGACACGGCCCAGACUCCUACGGGAGGCAGCAGUAGGGAAUCUUCCACAAUGGACGAAAGUCUGAUGGAGCAACGCCGCGUGAGUGAAGAAGGUUUUCGGAUCGUAAAACUCUGUUGUUGGAGAAGAAUGUAUCUGAUAGUAACUGAUCAGGUAGUGACGGUAUCCAACCAGAAAGCCACGGCUAACUACGUG
rnacentral:rRNA from 1 species